GCGGCUUAACUUCGCCAUACGUAUCAUGAAUAGUAUCCAACUACUUCCUGUACUUGACUUUUAAGUCAAUAGUUUAUCCUGUGUAUUAUGUGUCAUAUUGCAUACAACUUUAAAAUACUAGAAUAAAGCUUGUACUUACUGUUUACACUUGUGUAUCUUAUGCUACCAUGCACGUACUCUUAUCUUCUUUCUUUCUUCGUAGUCUCCAAAAAUU
rnacentral:lncRNA from 1 species